GACGAACGCUGGCGGCGUGCUUAACACAUGCAAGUCGAGCGGUGAACCUCCUUCGGGAGGGGAUCAGCGGCGAACGGGUGAGUAACACGUGGGCAACCUGCCCCUAGCACUGGGAUAACCCCGGGAAACCGGGGCUAAUACCGGAUACGACCCCCGAGGACAUCCUCGGAGGUGGAAAGUUCCGGCGGCUAGGGAUGGGCCCGCGGCCUAUCAGCUUGUUGGUGGGGUAACGGCCCACCAAGGCGACGACGGGUAGCCGGCCUGAGAGGGCGACCGG
rnacentral:rRNA from 1 species